UGCCCCUUCUCAUAUUUUUUCAUGUAAAAUCAGAUCCUAAUCUAAUUUCCCACAAUAAAAAUCCCCCUCAAAGUGUCACACACAUAAGGAGAAAAAAAUUGAUGGCAUGUGGAGUGAUUUGGAUAGGAAUAGAUUCUCUUGUUAUGGAAUGUUUUGAAAUUCAAUUUCAAAACCUUCCUUUUAUCAAAACCAAAUCAGACUUGGCAU
rnacentral:lncRNA from 1 species